rnacentral:misc_RNA from 1 species
UCCGUCUUGCGACGGCAGUUUUGCCAGAGUGAUACAACUGGCAAUAGGGGUUGCGCUCGUUAACCCACUUAAGGGUACGCCUCACGGUACGAACUGACGACAGCCAUGCAACACCUGUGUAAGCUCCAACUUGCGUUGGUCGUAAGCCUUUCAGCUUCCUACUACCUACAUGUCAAACCCUGGUAAGGUUCUUGGGUUAUCAGCCAAUUAAAGAGCAUGCUCCACCGCUUGUGCGGGUCCCCGCCAAUUCCUUUGAGUUUUAGCCUUGCGGCCGUACUACCCAGGCGGUCCGCUUAACGCGUUAGCUUCGACACCAACUAAUGCUGGCAUCUAGCGGACAUUGUUUACAGCGUGGACUA